rnacentral:rRNA from 1 species
UACGGAGGGUGCAAGCGUUAUCCGGAUUCACUGGGUUUAAAGGGUGCGUAGGCGGGCAGGUAAGUCAGUGGUGAAAUCUCCAAGCUUAACUUGGAAACUGCCGUUGAUACUAUCUGUCUUGAAUAUUGUGGAGGUGAGCGGAAUAUGUCAUGUAGCGGUGAAAUGCUUAGAUAUGACAUAGAACACCAAUUGCGAAGGCAGCUCACUACACAAUCAUUGACUCUGAGGCACGAAAGCGUGGGGAGCAAACAGG